rnacentral:rRNA from 1 species
UAUGACUCUGAGACGCUGGCGGCAGGCUUAACACAUGCAUGUCGAGCGGUAACAGAGAUAGCUUGCUAUCUGCUGACGAGCGGCGGACGGGUGAGUAAUGCUUGGGAAUAUGCCUUUGAGUGGGGGACAACAGUUGGAAACGACUGCUAAUACCGCAUAACGUCUACGGACCAAAGGGGGGGACGCUUCGGCACCUCUCGCUCAUUGAUUAGCCCAAGUGAGAUUAGCUAGUUGGUAAGGUAAUGGCUUACCAAGGCGACGAUCUCUAGCUGGUUUGAGAGGAUGAUCAGCCACACUGGGACUGAGACACGGCCCAGACUCCUACGGGAGGCAGCAGUGGGGAAUAUUGCACAAUGGGCGAAAGCCUGAUGCAGCCAUGCCGCGUGUGUGAAGAAGGCCUUCGGGUUGUAAAGCACUUUCAGCGAGGAGGAAAGGUUAGUAGUUAAUAACUGCUAGCUGUGACGUUACUCGCAGAAGAAGCACCGGCUAACUUCGUGCCAGCAGCCGCGGUAAUACGAGGGGUGCAAGCGUUAAUCGGAAUUACUGGGCGUAAAGCGUGCGUAGGUGGUUUGUUAAGCAAGAUGUGAAAGCCCCGGGCUCA